GGGGAAUAUUGGACAAUGGGGGCAACCCUGAUCCAGCCAUGCCGCGUGUGUGAAGAAGGCUUUCGGGUUGUAAAGCACUUUCAGUAGGGAGGAAAACCUUAUGGUUAAUACCCAUGAGGCUUGACGUUACCUACAGAAGAAGCACCGGCUAACUCCGUGCCAGCAGCCGCGGUAAUACGGAGGGUGCAAGCGUUAAUCGGAAUUACUGGGCGUAAAGCGCGCGUAGGUGGUUUGGUAAGCGAGAUGUGAAAGCCCCGGGCUUAACCUGGGAACGGCAUUUCGAACUGUCAGACUAGAGUGUGGUAGAGGGUAGUGGAAUUUCCUGUGUAGCGGUGAAAUGCGUAGAUAUAGGAAGGAACACCAGUGGCGAAGGCGGCUACCUGGACCAACACUGACACUGAGGUGCGAAAGCGUGGGGAGCAAACAGG
rnacentral:rRNA from 1 species